UAAUUUUUGGAUCAUUUUUAUUUAUGUGAUCUCUUCAUUUUCAUUCAGUCUUUUGGAGAUAUGAUUCCUAUAGUGUCCAGGUCAAAUCUGGCCCUGUGUAUAAUUGUUAAAACAUUGUUAAUAGAUUCCAAACACAGCUGUCAGUAUAUUUUCACUUUGUGAAUUUCCUGGCUUGUAGCUUAACUGUGAAAACCUACAGAAGAAGAUAGAAAAAUGGUCAGAGGCAGUCAGAGAGAAGAAAGCAGUCUACUCCCCAAGCUUGACCCAAGAAAGACCUGCCCUCUUUUUGUCCUCACCUGUCUUGUGACCAAGUGCUUGGCACAGCUACUAAAGCAGCACCCUCUGAUUAAGGACUAGGGCCUUGCUUUUUCUAAGGCCCUUUCCCCCUGCCAAGAGCUUCCACCCUCCUCCCAGUGACGGAGAGGGUGAGUUCCUGGAUUGCUUUAGUUCAACCUCAGAGUCUGCAGAAAAAGGCUGGGUGAACCUGGCCUUGCAGACAGAAAGUAAGAUGAGUGGGCUGAAGCAACUGAAAGGUAUAUGUGCAUCUGUAGGGAUUUUCUAGGACAUCAUUUUAAGAGAUAUAAUAUCUUUUAAAGGUUUUAACAAAGGGAAAACAUGCAGUUUAAGCAUUCCCCUAGUGCCUUUUGUGGGAGAAAAAUUUUACAUAUUAUUUCUAGUUUUUUCAGCAAUCCUAUGAGGCUAAUACUAUAACUGCCAUUUUGUAGAUUAAAAAAACUGAGCUUUUGAAAAAUUAAAGCACUGACUCAAAGUCAUAGAGCUAUGGAAUGUGAGGACCAGGCCUGACUCUGAAUCCCUUACUCUUUCCAUGCAAUUAAGUUUGAAAAGGGGCAGGGAGUAGAGUUCUAAGUUCACAAGUGUCAGUUCUUAUAUUUCUGUCUAGAUAUGCAAUAUUACUUGAUUUUUUAUUUUGAACCAUGUUUUCCAGCAAUCAAAGGAUUUAUUACAGGAUGUUUUCCUGCCAGCAAAUUCUAUUGAGCUGAAUCACAAACACUGCCUCGCCUUCUGUCACUGUUCAUAAUUUAUUCAUGGAUUGCUGGUUCCUCAUUAUAAUAGCGUUAUAUCCAAGUUAUGUAUUUUGAAUGAUCCUUUCAAGGCUUUUGGGAGGAUAUUAAGGGAGAGGUGGAGAGAGGCAUUUUAUAGAUAACUUUUCUUAUGAAACAAAUGAUUACUUUAUCUGGAUACAAGUCAUUCAGAUUCUACUGGUUCAAGAAAAAUAGCAAUCAAAGAAAGUGAAGGAUAAAUUGAAAGAGUAAAUGCCCAGGAUAAUAAUCCAUGAGAAGCACUAAAUAUAAUUGCUACAAAUCACAGAAAUUGAAAAGAAUGUUUAUUUACCCCCAAAAUUCAUAAGUUGAAAUCCUAUUCCCCAGUGUGAUGGUAUUUGGAGGUGGGACGUUUGGGAGGUGAUUAGGUCAUAACAGUGACCUUGUGACUGGAAUUAUUGCCCUUAUAGUAGAGACUCCAGAGAGCUCCCUUGUCUUUUUCCACCACAUGUGAACACAAUGAGAAGACAGUGGUCUACAACCUGGAAGAGGACCUUCACAAGAGCCUGAUCGUGCUGGCACCAUGUUGUGGACUUCCAGCUUCCAUAACUUUUCCAGGUAACAUUGAUGCUGCUGGGCCAGGAACCACAUUUUGAAGACCACUGGCUCUCACUCUGGAGAAAAUCACAGCGAAAUGCAAUAGUCCAACAUCAGAAUGUCUGGACCACUCAGUGAAAUGAAAUCAGAUUCCUUCUCUUGGCUGAGUCCCAAUACUGGUAAUCAAAUUACUGAGUGGUUCACCAUCUCAAGUAGAAGACUGAGCCUCAGAGUGCCAGUGUCCAUUAGCCAUCAAGUGACAUUGCAUGAAUAAACCCAAGUAGAGUUUAAAUAGACUAUAGAUGCCUGGAAAGAAAAUAUACACACUCAUCGUCCUCAAGUUUCUGAUGUAUUUGGCCAAGGACAUACAGUCUUAGUGGCAGCCAGCUGGCCACAUGUCUUGGCAUAUCUCAGUGAAGCUUCCUUCGGCCACCAAAGCCCCCAAAGACAGACAUACAGCUGUUAACACAAACUACACAAGGUAAGUCUUUCCAGGUCUGGGAAGCUUAAUUUUGUUCUGUACUCUUUAUGCCAGGGAUAUAAAUUGCUAUUUAGAAAAAGCUUAAGCAAUAUGUGCCCUUAUUGGGGGGGAAAGAAAAAAAAAAAGAAAAGACACUGGGACUCGUUGGCUCUCAAGCCAAACUUGGCAACAAACUUAUUCAGAGAGAAAAACAGAAUGAAUGCCCAGAUAUUUAUGAGUAGUGUCCUGACUCUGGCUUUCUAGGGUCUUGGAAAGUCCAUUUCCACCCACAUAAUCUUUCCUCCUCCAACCCCAUUUCCCCAAAUCACUAACCAGAACAAUAAAUCCAUGAUAUGUAGGAGAAGCGAAUAAUGACUUUAUAGAUAAUAAAUCUUAGACAAGCUCAAUACUUGUGCAUAUUUGAGAGGUGGUAAAUCUUAGAGCAAUCUAAAUGUAGCUCUUAUACUACUACAAAAUAAAAAUAUAUGUGAAAAAAACACAAUAAAGUCUAUUAGCCACUCAAGAUCUGUAAGAAGACAUUAUAUUCAAAUGUUAUAUUAGAUCAUGAAUAAUGUGGAAAUCUAAAUCUGAGUCAAACCAUACCAAGGGAGCAAUGCUUCCUACCAUUGGACUUAUUUUUUAAAUUGAGUUAUAUUUUUUGUAAAUUUAUA